GGGGAUGACUUGGCUUCGACAGGAGUAGAUUGCCCAUGGUUGCAUGUCGCUUUGGAUAUAGCGUAUAAAAUCCAAACUAAAUUUAAACGCAAAUAACGUUAAAUUCGCUCCUGCUUACGCUAAAGCUGCGUAGGUUCAGUUGAGCCUUGCAUUGUGCUGAUACUAUUUAGGCACAAAAGCGAGUAAUUUUAAAUAGUGUAGUUCAAAUGUCUGACAAACAUUUGUGCGAAUUUUUUGUCUUAGUUUAAAAGAAAGUUUUGGAAAGUGAGCUCUUUUAAAUGAAAAUUUCACUUUUGCUAAACAUGUAGAUGCCUUGAGUGUUUAUUUUUGGACUGCGGUUCGAUCCCGCACAUCUCCACCA
rnacentral:tmRNA from 2 species